GUGAAAUCGAGUAGGGCGGGACACGUGACAUCCUGUCUGAAUAUGGGGGGACCAUCCUCCAAGGCUAAAUACUCCUGACUGACCGAUAGUGAACCAGUACCGUGAGGGAAAGGCGAAAAGAACCCCUGUGAGGGGAGUGAAAUAGAACCUGAAACCGUGUACGUACAAGCAGUGGGAGCCCUUCGGGGUGACUGCGUACCUUUUGUAUAAUGGGUCAGCGACUUACAUUUUGUAGCGAGGUUAACCGUAUAGGGGAGCCGUAGGGAAACCGAGUCUUAACUGGGCGUCUAGUUGCAAGGUGUAGACCCGAAACCGGGUGAUCUAGCCAUGGGCAGGUUGAAGGUUGAGUAACAUCAACUGGAGGACCGAACCCACUAACGUUGCAAAGUUAGGGGAUGACCUGUGGCUGGGGGUGAAAGGCCAAUCAAACUCGGAGAUAGCUGGUUCUCCCCGAAAGCUAUUUAGGUAGCGCCUCGGACGAAUACUACUGGGGGUAGAGCACUGUUUGGGCUAGGGGGUCAUCCCGACUUACCAACCCCAUGCAAACUCCGAAUACCAGUAAGUAAUAUCCGGGAGACACACGGCGGGUGCUAACGUCCGUCGUGAAGAGGGAAACAACCCAGACCGCCGGCUAAGGUCCCAAAGUUCUGGUUAAGUGGGAAACGAUGUGGGAAGGCUCAGACAGCUAGGAUGUUGGCUUAGAAGCAGCCAUCAUUUAAAGAAAGCGUAAUAGCUCACUAGUCGAGUCGGCCUGCGCGGAAGAUGUAACGGGGCUCAAACCAGGCACCGAAGCCGCGGAUUCACACUUAUGUGUGAGUGGUAGGGGAGCGUUCUGUAAGUCUGCGAAGGUGUAUCGAGAGGUAUGCUGGAGAUAUCAGAAGUGCGAAUGCUGACGUAAGUAACGAUAAAGGGGGUGAAAAGCCUCCUCGCCGGAAGACCAAGGGUUCCUGUCCAACGUUAAUCGGGGCAGGGUGAGUCGACCCCUAAGGCGAGGCCGAAAGGCGUAGUCGAUGGGAAGCAGGUUAAUAUUCCUGCACGACUUGUAAUUGCGAUGGGGGGACGGAGAAGGCUAGGUGGGCCAGGCGACGGUUGUCCUGGUGAAAGUGCGUAGGUGGUGUUUC
rnacentral:rRNA from 1 species